AGAGUUUGAUCAUGGCUCAGAACGAACGCUGGCGGCGUGGAUAAGACAUGCAAGUCGAACGCUGAUUUCAGGGUAGCAAUAUUCUGGAGUCGGAGUGGCGCAAGGGUGCGUAACACGUGGGUAAUUUGCCGUGAAGACUGGAAUAACUUGCUGAAAGGCGAGCUAAUACCGGAUGUGACGUUUGGGAGGCAUCUUCCGAAUUUCAAAGUUGGGGACCGCAAGGCCUGACGCUUCACGAUAAGCCCGCGGCCUAUCAGCUAGUUGGUAAGGUAACGGCUUACCAAGGCUAAGACGGGUAGCUGGUCUGAGAGGACGACCAGCCUCACUGGAACUGAGACACGGUCCAGACACCUACGGGUGGCAGCAGUCGAGAAUUUUUCACAAUGGGCGAAAGCCUGAUGGAGCGACGCCGCGUGGGGGAUGAAUGGCUUCGGCCCGUAAACCCCUGUCAUUUGCGAACAAACCUUGUCAUUUAAAAGAUGACGAGCUGAUUGUAGCGAAAGAGGAAGGGACGGCUAACUCUGUGCCAGCAGCCGCGGUAAUACAGAGGUCCCAAGCGUUGUUCGGAUUCACUGGGCGUAAAGGGUGCGUAGGUGGUCGGGUCAGUCUGAUGUGAAAUCUCCGAGCCUAACUCGGAAACUGCAUUGGAUACUGCUUGGCUGGAGGGUUGGAGGGGGGACUGGAAUUCUCGGUGUAGCAGUGAAAUGCGUAGAUAUCGAGAGGAACACCAGUGGCGAAGGCGAGUCCCUGGACAACUCCUGACACUGAGGCACGAAAGCUAGGGGAGCAAACAGGAUUAGAUACCCUAGUAGUCC
rnacentral:rRNA from 1 species